CGUCUGACACAGGUGCUGCAUGGCUGUCGUCAGCUCCGUGUCGUGAGAUGUUGGGUUAAGUCCCGUAACGAGCGCAACCCUUGUCCUUAGUUACCAGCACGUUAUGGUGGGCACUCUAAGGAGACUGCCGGUGACAAACCGGAGGAAGGUGGGGAUGACGUCAAGUCAUCAUGGCCCUUACGGCCUGGGCUACACACGUGCUACAAUGGUCGGUACAAAGGGUUGCCAAGCCGCGAGGUGGAGCUAAUCCCAUAAAACCGAUCGUAGUCCGGAUCGCAGUCUGCAACUCGACUGCGUGAAGUCGGAAUCGCUAGUAAUCGUGAAUCAGAAUGUCACGGUGAAUACGUUCCCGGGCCUU
rnacentral:rRNA from 1 species